CAAAAUUCCUGUUCCAGCACUGUAGCACACUGUAACGUUUCGUUUGUAUUUGUGAAUUAUUGUCCAAAUAUUGACUAAUUAGGCUCAAAAGAUUCGUCUCGCAAAGUACAACAAAACUGUGCAAUUAGUUUUUAAUUUCAUCUACAUUUAGUACUACAUGCAUGUACCGCGAGUUUGAUGUGAUGGGGAAUCUUCUUUUUGCAUAGUGUCAAAAUUGGGAGUUGGGGAGUAACUAAACAUGGCCUUCAUACCAUAGCUCAUAUUGGAGCAUGAAGUUUCAGGUCAAUGUGUCAGAUUAUUGUCAGAAUUCGGAAGGACCUCAAGUGCCAUGAAAUUCAAAUAAGUAGCUCAGAGCUGAACUUGGAGUUGCUGUGGACAUGGACACAUCAACAUUAACGAGCCAUUGAAUCGAGGUGGCAUCUUGUGGUGUUUUUAGUGAAGUUUUGUCGCAAUUCUUUUCUUCACGUAGGUAAAAUCUACUUUUCCUUA
rnacentral:lncRNA from 1 species